rnacentral:lncRNA from 1 species
GAGCAGAAGUGCUUCAGAUUUCAGAUUUUAGAAUAUUUGUAUUGUCUAACUCCCAGUUGAAUAUUCCAAAUCUGAAAGUCUGAAAUAGGAUAUGCUCCAAAUGUGCAUUUCCUUUAGGUAACAUGCCAGUGCUCAAAAAGUUUCAGACUUUGGAGCACUUUGGGUUUUAGAUUUUUGGAUUAGGGAUGCUCGAUGUCUAUCAAAGCUGGGAAGGAGCCAGACGCCAGACAUGAGGAGCAUAGUGGGAAGAGGGUCUCUGAAGAAAGGAACAGCAUGUGUGAAGUCCUGGGCAGCAGGGGUUGUGCCUAAAGGGCCCUGUCCUUUGGCAGAGGACAUGGUGCCCUCAGUGUACUCUCGGCCUCUGGCUCUUUGACUUCUCACCACCAGGGAACAAGAAUCCUUCCUCCACAACAAAUGCUUCUUUCUCCUCUGGCAGAAGCCUCAUGCCAACCCAUCCAGCCCUGCCAGCAGCAUCAGCUGAUCCCUGGGCAGUUACAAUCAACAAAGAGGGAGAGAAUCAGAAGCAGAGAAAAUUCCCACCAGAGUCACCGAGGUCAUCUGGCUGGGGGACAGGCUGUGGAGAGGACAUUCUUUCUGCUGCCAUUGUUCCCCGCAUUCCACGGGACCAGGAGUGAUACUAAUUGCUGCCACCACAACUGCUUGAAUUCCUGGGGCAUUUUACUGUCUGUGAAGUGUUGGUGAAGAUGUUCCCAGCUCCAAGGAGGAGCAAAACCUAACUGGUUUAAGCCAGUCGUAGCAAUCUGACCCCUGUUGAUAGUGACUGGUCCAGGGAUGGGCAGUGGGACCCUGUUCUGGCCUAGAUGUAAGUGAAAGUCUGGAGGGAUUCUGAGAAAGAUUUUACUAUCUGAUUAUAAGAGAGAUAAAGGGGAAAACCAUUUUUUCCUUCUUGGUUGAGACACUGCUACGCGAGGACAUGGUGCUUGGAGCUUUGGUAGCCAAAUUCUGUUGAUGCUGAUAACAGCAGAAAAUGAGCAAUGCUUGAUAGAGACGUCUGGGAGUGCUGAGGCAAUCCUGGGCUCACCGAGCUCUAGAUUUCUUAUAAAGAAGCCAUAUAUAUAUGUCCUUGAUGUUUACAAAAUUAACGCCUUGCUUUUUAAGGCACCAGCAUCACCUGGGAGCUUGCCAGAAAUGCAAUCGCAGGCUUCACUCCAGACAUGCUGAAUCAGAAACUGCACUUCAAAAAGACCCUCCAUGAUUCCAACACAUGUUUCAGUUUGAAAAUCACUGGUUUAAGUCAUGGCUGGUCAGAGUUUUCUGAAACAUGCAGUCUAAAGCACGCUGACGGGUAGCAUACCCCAGGCUCAGGUUUUCUUAGGGUGCUAAGCUUAUUCAUUUGAUUCCAGAUUCCAGAAGACAAGGGCCCAUCCUAAUGUCUCCAAGUGGGGUCUACACUCCAGGAUGGAUAAAUCAGAGAGAUCAUUAUAAUCCACGGAGCUUUCCUGGAGAUACAGCAAAGGUGUCCCAAGGAACAGAAAGUGACUACAACCGAGAGAAAACCUGCAGGCCUCAGUGGAAAGUACUGGGCAGGAUCCCAGGCAGGGUACAGGGUUAAGAACCUCAACUGCCCUUUUGCUGAACAAAGUGGGCUACGCAAAGGGCAGCAGGAAUCAGUCCAGGAGGUCUGUGGGGACUGAUUGAAUGCACUUGCCUCGCAGGGAUUGAGAAAGGAGCCAGGGUUCAGAGGAGGGGUUCUGGGGGCCUCUGACCCCUGGGAUGAAAUAGGCCAGACUGGCCACAUCUGGGUUCUUUUUUUUUUGGAGGUGUUUGCGAAUAUGAUCUUGGAACUUCAUAAAUUUUUCAACCCUUGGUGAUGCACCUAGACCUUCAGUUCCACUCUACACAACAAUCGUUUUGCCUAUCUUUGGGGGAGGAAUAGGAGAAGCCCGGUAUCUCAGCUCUGGAAGAAGAAUGUCCCUCUGCUUUUCUCUGCCCAGCUGGACAGGAUGUUCCACCUUGAGAGAAGAAGAAUUGGUUCCACUCCUAAGGAAACAGUAGGCAGUAUCUGACAGUGCUUUUAUAACCAGAUGUUUCAAGGUAGAAUCCAAGGCACAUGAGUUCAUGCAUGCAGAUUACACCAUGCCCAGUGCCUUGUGGGUCAAGUGUCCCUUCCCCCUCCCCGGCUUCUUUAUGUGAUGCAUGGUGAUUUGUUUAUUCUGAGAAUCAAUAUAAAAAAAUAGUUUGGAGUAGGAAAUUUGGGAUUGGACAUAGCUGGCUAGAAUCCUGGCUCUAUUUCUUACUAGCUGUAAAAUCUUGGGCAAAUUAACCUUUCUGAACCCAGUUUCCACAUCUGUGAAGUGGGAAAAAUAGUGCUUACCUUUUGAGGUUGGCAUUAAGACUAAAUGAGGGACCUGUGUAUAGCACUCAGGAAGAACUUAAUAAAUGGUGGCUAUCAUUAUUAACAUUGCAUUUGUCUUUAAAAGAGGCCAUACUGGGGAGCAGAGGCAUGGAUCCAGAACCAGAGCACAUCUGAGAAGGCAGAGGUUGCAUGCAGUGAAGGGGUCUACAGGGGGGCACUGGAGCCUGGAUUCCCCUGCUGGACUCAUCUUGGCACCUGACUGGAUGAACCAGAUAGGAAGACAGAGAAAAGUCGAAGCUUCUUUGCUGUCC